rnacentral:rRNA from 1 species
CCCUACGGGGCGCAGCAGUGGGGAAUAUUGCACAAUGGGGGAAACCCUGAUGCAGCGACGCCGCGUGAGGGAAGAAGGUUUUCGGAUUGUAAACCUCUGUCCUUGGUGACGAAAGAAGACGGUAGCCAAGGAGGAAGCCACGGCUAACUACGUGCCAGCAGCCGCGGUAAUACGUAGGGAGCAAGCGUUAUCCGGAUUUAUUGGGUGUAAAGGGUGCGUAGACGGGAAAUUAAGUUAGUUGUGAAAUCCCUCGGCUUAACUGAGGAGCUGCAACUAAAACUGAUUUUCUUGAGUACUGGAGAGGA